rnacentral:rRNA from 1 species
UAAUACGGAGGGUGCAAGCGUUAUCCGGAUUCACUGGGUUUAAAGGGAGCGUAGGUGGGGUGGUAAGUCAGUGGUGAAAUCUCCGGGCUUAACUCGGAAACUGCCGUUGAUACUAUCAUUCUUGAAUAUUGUGGAGGUAAGCGGAAUAUGUCAUGUAGCGGUGAAAUGCUUAGAUAUGACAUAGAACACCGAUAGCGAAGGCAGCUUGCUACACAAUUAUUGACACUGAGGCUCGAAAGCGUGGGGAUCAAACAGGAUUAGAUACCCUGGUAGUCCACGCCCUAAACGAUGGAUACUCGACAUACGCGAUACACAGUGUGUGUCUGAGCGAAAGCAUUAAGUAUCCCACCUGGGAAGUACGACCGCAAGGUU